AGAUACAAGACCAAACUCAUCACAAUCAAGCUCUGUUUCUCUCUCAGUGAAGGAGAGACCUAAGCCUGUAGUGAAGGUGUCUCCAGAUCAGCGUGUGUUCAGAGGAGAGACAGUCACUCUCACAUGUGACAUACAGAGAGGAGGACACAUUCAGUGGACAUACAGCUGGUUUAAAGAUGGAAACACUUUCUAUCCAUACAGAAGAACAACAACAGCAGAGUUCAGUUUCACAGCAUCUGUGUCUGACAGUGGUGUUUACAGCUGUAGAGGAGAGAGAUCAGACUCACAGAGAUCACACACCAGUGCUGCUCUUGCACUGACUGUAUCAGAUUUACCCAGAUCUACUCUGACUGUGACUCCAGACAGAUCUGUAUUCACUGGAGAGAGAGUGACUCUGACGUGUGUGAUUGAGUCUUACAGAGACUGGAGUCAGAGAAAUGGCCUGAGAUAUGACUGGAGAUAUUACUGGACACCUGACUGGAGAUAUGAGUGGUAUAAAGACAGUGUAAAGUUACAGUCGUCUGAUCGUUACACUGUAAACACAGACACUCUCACUAUCAGAGCAGUAACUACAUCUGAUGAGGGUCAGUACACGUGUAGAGG